rnacentral:rRNA from 1 species
GACGAACGCUGGCGGCGUGCCUAAUACAUGCAAGUAGAACGCAGUUGCGAACGGGUGAGUAACGCGUAGGUAACUGCCUCAUAGCGGGGGUUAACUAUUGGAAACGAUAGCUAAUACCGCAUACUGUGAGAUGGACCUGCGUGGUAUUAGCUAGUUGGUGAGGUAAAGGCUAACCAAGGCGACGAUACAUAGCCGACCUGAGAGGGUGAUCGGGCCCACUGGGACUGGUACACGGCCCAGACUCCUCCGGGAGGUAGAGGUGGGGGAGUUUCGGCAAUUGACGGAAGUCGUGCCGAGCAACGGCGCGUGAGUGAAGAAGGUUUUCGGAUCGUAAAGCUCUGUUGUUAGAGAAGCGGUAACUGACCAGGAAGGGACGGCUAACUACGUGCCAGCAGCCGCGGUAAUAC